UAAGCAUAUCAAUAAGCGGAGGAAAAGAAACCAACAGGGAUUGCCUUAGUAGCGGCGAGUGAAGCGGCAAAAGCUCAAAUUUGAAAUCUGGCGGCCUCGUCGUCCGAGUUGUAAUUUGAAGAAGGUAUCUUUGGGUCUGGCGCUUGUCUAUGUUCCUUGGAACAGGACGUCACAGAGGGUGAGAAUCCCGUGCGAUGAGCAGUCCAGAUCCGUGUAAAGUUCCUUCGAAGAGUCGAGUUGUUUGGGAAUGCAGCUCUAAGUGGGUGGUAAAUUCCAUCUAAAGCUAAAUAUUGGCGAGAGACCGAUAGCGAACAAGUACAGUGAUGGAAAGAUGAAAAGAACUUUGAAAAGAGAGUGAAAAAGUACGUGAAAUUGUUGAAAGGGAAGGGCUUGCGAUCAGACUUGGUAUUUUGUAUGUCUUGCUUUCGGGCGGGGCCUCUGCAGUUUACUGGGCCAGCAUCGGUUCGGGUGGCAGGACAAUUGCGGAGAAAUGUGGCACGGC
rnacentral:rRNA from 1 species